GAUGAACGCUGGCGGCGUGCCUAAUACAUGCAAGUCGAGCGAACGGACGAGAAGCUUGCUUCUCUGAUGUUAGCGGCGGACGGGUGAGUAACACGUGGAUAACCUACCUAUAAGACUGGGAUAACUUCGGGAAACCGGAGCUAAUACCGGAUAAUAUUUUGAACCGCAUGGUUCAAAAGUGAAAGACGGUCUUGCUGUCACUUAUAGAUGGAUCCGCGCUGCAUUAGUUAGUUGGUAAGGUAACGGCUUACCAAGGCAACGAUGCAUAGCCGACCUGAGAGGGUGAUCGGCCACACUGGAACUGAGACACGGUCCAGACUCCUACGGGAGGCAGCAGUAGGGAACCUUCCGCGAUGGGCGAAAGCCUGACGGAGCAACGCCGCGUGAGUGAUGAAGGUCUUCGGAUCGUAAAACUCUGUUAUUAGGGAAGAACAUAUGUGUAAGUAACUGUGCACAUCUUGACGGUACCUAAUCAGAAAGCCACGGCUAACUACGUG
rnacentral:rRNA from 1 species